rnacentral:rRNA from 1 species
GGUGGGAUUACCCGCUGAACUUAAGCAUAUCAAUAAGCGGAGGAAAAGAAACUAACAAGGAUUCCCCUAGUAACGGCGAGUGAAGAGGGAAAAGCCCAAAUUUGUAAUCUGGCUCUUUCAGAGUCCGAGUUGUAAUUUUAAGAACUGUUUUCCGUGCUGGACCAUGUACAAGUCUGUUGAAAAACAGCAUCAUUGAGGGUGAAAAUCCCGUACAUGAUAUGGACUACCAGUGCAAUGUGAUACAGUCUCUAAGAGUCGAGUUGUUUGGGAAUGCAGCUCAAAGUGGGUGGUAAAUUCCAUCUAAGGCUAAAUAUAGGUGAGAGACCGAUAGCAAACAAGUACCGUGAGGGAAAGAUGAAAAGAACUUUGGAAAGAGAGUUAACAGUACGUGAAAUUGUUAAAAGGGAAACAUUUGAAGUUAGACUUGUUAUUGUUGGUUCAACUUCUUUAUUGAGGUGUAUUCCAAUGGUUAACAGACCAGCAUCAAUUUUUGGGUGUUGGAUAAGGGUUUAGGAAAUGUAGCAACCUUGGUUGUGUUAUAGUCCUUUACUUUGAUACAAUGCUUAGGAUUGAGGAACGCAGUAAGCUUUGUAGCAGAUUU